GAUGAACGCUGGCGGCGUGCCUAAUACAUGCAAGUCGAGCGAACGGACGAGAAGCUUGCUUCUCUGAUGUUAGCGGCGGACGGGUGAGUAACACGUGGAUAACCUACCUAUAAGACUGGGAUAACUUCGGGAAACCGGUGCUAAUACCGGAUGAUAUUUUGAACCGCAUGGUUCAAAAGUGAAAGACGGUCUUGCUGUCACUUAUAGAUGGAUCCGCGCUGCAUUAGCUAGUUGGUAAGGUAACGGCUUACCAAGGCAACGAUGCAUAGCCGACCUGAGAGGGUGAUCGGCCACACUGGAACUGAGACACGGUCCAGACUCCUACGGGAGGCAGCAGUAGGGAAUCUUCCGCAAUGGGCGAAAGCCUGACGGAGCAACGCCGAGUGAGUGAUGAAGGUCUUCGGAUCGUAAAACUCUGUUAUUAGGGAAGAACAUAUGUGUAAGUAACUGUGCACAUCUUGACGGUACCUAAUCAGAAAGCCACGGCUAACUACGUG
rnacentral:rRNA from 1 species